UACGUAGGGGGCAAGCGUUAUCCGGAAUCAUUGGGCGUAAAGCGCGUGUAGGCGGUCCGGUAAGUCCGCUCUGAAAGCCCAGGGCUCAACCCUGGGAGGCGGGUGGAUACUACCGGACUAGAGUACGGAAGAGGAGAUUGGAAUUCCUGGUGUAGCGGUGAAAUGCGCAGAUAUCAGGAGGAACACCAACAGCGAAGGCAGAUCUCUGGGACGUAACUGACGCUGAGACGCGAAAGCGUGGGGAGCAAACAGG
rnacentral:rRNA from 1 species